UGACUAAUGGAUCAUUGGCUGCUGUGCCUUGUAAUGGUGAACUAUUUAUGAAGCUCACUGGAAACAGCCGUCAUACCCACCGCUGAUAAAGGCGCAUCUCCACGGAAGUUCUAAAGCAUGGUUAAUUGGAAAGGAUGCCGAAAGACAGCGGCCACAAUCAGCGCCGCCAUAUACGAACAUCACCACUCUUCACCAGCAGCAACACUUAUGCCAGGAACUAAUAACCAGGUUAUUGGUUCCUGCUUAUGCUACGUUUAGACAAGGCAAGUGAAUUGAGCAAGUCGCUUGAAUCGAACGCGAAUUGAACGUGUAAACACCUUAAUUCACAUCACUUGAACGAAAAGAAAGUUGAACAUGUUCAACUUUUGGCAAGUCAAUUGAAUUCAACUGAGUUGUUGCGUUAUGCUACGUUUUGACACGGCAAGUGAAUUGAACAACUCAGUUGAAUUCAAUUGACUUGCCAAAAGUUGAACAUGUUCAACUUUUUUUUUCGUUCAAGUGAAUUGAAUUAGGUGCCUGCCAGAGUAGACGCGUCUACGCGACGCGGCGCGAAAAUUGCACACAAAGGAAUAACAAUCAAUAAUAAGGAGCUGUCAAAUCGUAUGGACGCUUCGCUUCGCUUCGCACUUCGCGUCUACUCUGGCCGCACCAGGAGGGUGAAACGCCUGUCAUCCGCAGUACAAUGGCACUCUACCCAACAUCGCUUUUGGUACUUCUGUUUUUGGUACCCAGUUUCUGGGUAGUAUACCCGAAUUCAGCGCUCAUUUCGGGUGAUUGGUUCGUACGCAGUUAGUGCUAAUUAUCGGCAUUUAACUUCUCCUGGCGAAAACUUGCAAUUGGCUGAGGUACAUCGAGCCUUUUUGUGUUUGUAUGGCUUCUUUAUGUCGAAAAGUAGCUCGUCGAUACUUCCGAAGUUUUGUUAACAUGAAUCAAACGAAAUUAAAACAAAAACAUUGCACGCCAUAUUGAAUGAAUGCUGGGUAGGCGUAUUAGCCUUCUCUUCAGUCCCCUGGGCCGCACCCUUAGGGUGUUUACACGUUCAGUUCGCGUUCGAUUCAAGCGACUUGCUCAAUUUAAUUGCCUUGUCUAAACGUAGCAUUACGGCAUGGCCAAUGAGAAGCUAUGAAGAGCGCUCAACAAUAGAAUAAAAUAUAUAAAUCUAAAAUUCAAAUUAAAUUUCAAAUCAAAGUAAUAAAAUAA